rnacentral:rRNA from 1 species
AUUCCGGUGAUCCUGCCGGAGGUCACUGCUAUCGGAGUACGACUUAGCCAUGCGAGUCACAGGGACUUCGGUCACUGGCGUACGGCUCAGUAACACGUGGGCAACCUACCCUCAGGACAGGCAUAACCCCGGGAAACUGGGGCUAAUCCCUGAUAGGCACCCUCAACUGGAAUGUGUCGGUGUCGAAAGCUCCGGCGCCUGAGGAUGGGCCUGCGGCCGAUUAGGUUGUUGGCGGGGUAACAGCCCACCAAGCCGACGAUCGGUACGGGCAGUGAGAGCUGUAGCCCGGAGAUGGGGACUGAGACAAGGCCCCAGGCCCUACGGGGCGCAGCAGGCGCGAAACCUUCACAAUGCUCGAAAGAGUGAUGAGGGUACUCCGAGUGCCAGUGCUUAGCACUGGCUUUUCUGCAGCGUAAAUAGUUGAAGGAAUAAGGGCUGGGCAAGACCGGUGCCAGCCGCCGCGGUAACACCGGCAGCCCUAGUGGUGACCGCUUUUAUUGGGCCUAAAGCGUUCGUAGCCGGGCCGGUAAGUCCUUGGGUAAAUCCUGCGUCUCAAGCGCGGGAAUUCUAAGGAUACUACUGGCCUUGAGGCCGGGAUAGGCGAGAGGUACUCCCGGGGUAGGGGUAAAAUCCUAUAAUCCUGGGGGGACCACCGAUGGCGAAGGCAUCUCGCUGGAACGGGCCUGACGGUGAGGGACGAAACCCAGGGGAGCGAGCCGGAUUAGAUACCCGGGUAGUCCUGGGCGUAAAUGACGUGGGCUUGGUGUGAGCGCAUCGACGAGGUGCGCUUGUGCCGGAGGGAAGCCGUUAAGCCCACCGCCUGGGGAGUACGGUCGCAAGGCUGAAACUUAAAGGAAUUGGCGGGGGAGCACUACAAGGGGUGGAGGCUGCGGUUUAAUUGGAUUCAACGCCGGGAAACUCACUGGGAGCGACAGCAGUAUGACGGCCAGGUUGAUGACCUUGCCCGACGAGCUGAGAGGUGGUGCAUGGCC